rnacentral:lncRNA from 1 species
AAUGAUGGCAGAUGCGCAGAAAAAGAAUUGCCCUCAUAAAAUUCCAAUAAAAGGAAGCUAUUGUAUUCCAACUAAAUGUUUGGAUAUGUGUAAGAAGCAACAUGGAACUCUUGGUAGUUGUUCGGAAGAAAAAGGAUUUUGUAACUGCGCUUGUAAGUAAGGGUUCUCACUAAGUGUUAUGAAUCUAGUAAUGUCCAACCAAAGUUUUAUAUUAUUUCUUUUAACAAUAAGUCUAAAUGUUUGUCUCUGAUUUGUGGAUCUAUUUAUAAUAAAUAAUAAUAUGAAUGUUAAAUAAAUACAAAUGUGUAAAACAAGAGUGGACUAUUAAUAAAAUAUAUGAUCACAUUAUUGUUAGAAGUAACCCAUAUUACUUGAAAAAUCAAAAGCUUAAGAAGAGUUAAAAAGAUAGAUAUGAAAUCACAACCAAUAUUUAAAUGUGAGAUAAUCAACUAACAUGUAAUUUUGUACACAUUGUAAAAAAAAAAAAAAAACAAGAGUUGAUUAUCAAACAAAAAAGUGUUAGAAAGAGCAACAGAUCAUGCAAGGGCAGUCUAGGUUUGAAUUGGCUUGACAGAUGGGUUGCAGACAUGCCAUAGGAAAGUCCUACAAACUCAUCAGACAUCAAAGAAAAUUGAUAGCAUUGUUUCUGAACAUGACAAAGCUCUGGUCAUGAAGAAAAAUUUCACAGCCAAAGUUUUUGGUAGACCUUCUCCGAUUUCAUCAUCAGCUACGAGUUUUGAGACUUCAUCCACAUCUCAGUCUCCAUUUCCAUUCUCAUGAAGUUUUCUUUAGGGAAGAGGUUAUUACAGAAAGCCAAGUUACAUGAACCUAACACAAUCUAUCAAAGGUAAGAAGAGACGAUCAACCAGUAUUCUUCAUCUUCUUGUUCCGAAAUCACUGUUUGAAAAGAAACAGUCAAUGUCUUACAACGAAGAUGUGAAUGUAAAGUGUUGUGCAUGUUCGGAUCCAUCUUGCACCCAGUGGAAUGAUCUAUAUCUACAUGCUCAAGUAACAAGGAGAAAUAUGUGGGCAAAGAAGCUAAAGUAAACAUUGUUUCAUUAAAUCUUUAAAGCAUUUCAACACCUUGAGAGUUCUAAAACACACACAAAAUACCGAUUUAUAGAUAUAUAAGCAACUUCUAUGUAUGUUCUUUUACAUAUGAGUUAGUAUGAAAAUUGCUGCAAUGUUGUUGUUUGACCACUUUUAUUAUUUAAUAGUUAACUUCUGAUGAUUCUAAGAUAACAUGUUCUUCCCAACUCUUGUCAAUAUGAAACCAAGAGCAAAGUUUCAUCUUUAGACAUGAAAGACCUAUAAAAUGACAAAAUAGCAUAGUUUAGACGAAAGCUUCCUAAUAAAAUUUAUUCUCACUAUCUAAAUCUAAAACUGAAUUCAAUUCAUCUAUUUGAUUAUUAUAUAGUUUUCAUUUUUCAUUAUUUUAUUGAAUUGAGUAAAAAAAUUUAAUUAUAAACUUACUAAUUUUUUAAUAUAAUCUCAUAAAUUAUGUUACGUGUGGGACAUCCACCUAAUAAACUAUUAAUUUAAAUAGUAAUGUUCGAAAAGUAUUUUAUUGACAUUGUUUUAAAUAAAUUCAGAAUUCUAAAAAUAGCAAUAACUUUUUGAGAACAUCAGAUUUAUGUACACGCAUAGGACACAUACCUUUUUAUUUACUUAAAGGAAAAUGAACGAGUCUAAAUCUUCCACAUGUUAUAUGAGCAAAACAUGAAUUUUUCUAAAUUAGAUUCGUUUAAAUCAGAACAUAUUAAUGUGAGUUUCUUAAAUUAGAUUUUUAAUAUGUAUAUAUACGUAAGAAUACUUCUUAUGUUUUAAAAUAAAAAAUAGAAUACUUCAUCUCUUUCCUAAAUUUUUAAGCCAAUAUCAAUCCAUUUCUAUAAUCUAAGAUGAAGAAAUCCCUUCAACUCUCUUUUUCGUUCUUAAUUAUCUCCAUCAUUCUCUCACAUGGUUUGUAUUUUCAUCUUAAUAUAUUGCAUAUAGUAAUUCCAUAAUAAAUUGAUUAUACUAAAAUUUGACUUUUAAAAUAUUGUCAACCCCCAUAUAAUAAAUUUUAUUUACUAUAUAAAACAUAGCAUUAAAUUAUCUCUUUGUGUAAAAUUCAUAACUUUGCAGAAGGCUAGAAAAUAUAGAUAGUAUAGUCAGAAAUGUUUGCGUUAAAAUUGAAAGGAUCAACCAUGGAGUAUUUAAAUGUUUUUUAUACUUUAUGCCAUUUAUAAUUUUUUUAAUGUAUGGGUUUAUAUAUGAUGAAGAACUAUUAUGAUAAAAUAAUAUUAAAUAAUUUCAUUUUUAUCAUCUAUUUAUGAACAUUUUGUCCUGCACAUACAAAUGAUUUAACCAACAUUUUUAAUAAUAUGGAUGAACUAUAGCUCUUACGUAAAUUUAUUUGAUAUUUUUAAUUAAAUUUAUAUAUUUUUAUAGGUAAUUUGUUAUGCUUUUCCAAUACAUACAGUAGUUGUUAUUAAAAUAUCAAAAUUUAAUACGUAAUGUUUAUUAAUAUGCACACAAUUCUUAAAACCAUAUUUUUAAAAAAUAAUGUGUGACCAAACGAUAUGCUCAUUUUUUUAUUUACUAGCAAAAUAUAUUUCUUUUCUUACUUAUAACGUUUAAAAAGAAAUGUUAUUAAACAUUUUUUGCUGAUAAAUAAAUUUUAUAUUUCAUAAAAUCUAAAUAUAUUUUUUAACAAUUAAAAUUUGAAAUUUUUAUAUCUUACAGGAAUGAUGGCAGAUGCGCAGAAAAAGAAUUGUCCUCAUAAAAUUCCAAUAAAAGGAAGUUAUUGUGCUCCAACUAUAUGUUUGGAUAUGUGUAAGAAGCAACAUGGAACUGUUGGUAGUUGUGCGGAAUAAAAAUGAUUUUGUAACUGCGCUUGUAAGUAAGAGUUCUCACUAAGUGUAAUGAAUCUAGUAAUGUCCAACCAAAGUUUUAUAUUAUUUCUUUUAACAAUAAGUCUAAAUGUUUGUCUCAGAUUUGUGGAUCUAUUUAUAAUAAAUAAUAAUAUGAAUGUUAAAUAAAUACAAAUGUGUAAAACAAGAGUGGACUAUUAAUAAAAUAUAUGAUUGCAUUAUUGUUAGAAGUAACCAAUAUUACGUGUAAAAUCAAAAUCUUAAGACAAGUUAAAAAGAUUGAGAUGAAAUCACAACCAAUAUUUAAAUGUGAGAUAAUCAACUAACAUGUAAUUUUGUACACAUUGUAAAAAAAAAAAAGCAAGAGUUCAUUAUCAAACAAGAAAGUGUUAGAAAGAGCAACAGAUCAUGCAAGGGCAGUCUAGGUUUGAAUUGGCUUGACAUAGGGAAAAUUGAAAGCACUGUUUCUGAACAUGACAACGCUUUGGUCAGGAAGAACAAUCUCACAACCAGAGUUUUGGGUAGAUUUCUCCAAUGUCAUUAUCAGGUACGAGUUAUGAGACUUCAUCCACAUCUCAGUCCCAGUUCCCUUCUCAGGAAGUUUCCUUGAGGAAGGAGGUUAUUACAGAAAGCUAAGUUACAUGAGCCUGACAUAUCAUGCAAGGGCAGUCCCAACAAGAAAAUGUUAGAAAGAGCAACAUAUCAUGCAAGGACAGUCCAGGUUUGAAUUGGCUUGACAGAUGGUUUGCAGACAUGCCAUCUGAAGGUCCUACAAACUCAUCAGACAACGAAGGAAAAUUGAUAGCAUUGUUUCUGAACAUGACAAAACUCUAGUCAGGAAGAAGAAUCUCACAACCAAAGUUUUGGGUAGAGCUCCUCCAAUGUCAUCAUCAGCUACGAGUUCAAAGACUUCAUCCACAUCUUAGUCCCCAUUCUCUUCUCAUGAAGUUUCCUUUAGGAAAGAGGUUAUUACAGAAAGCCAAGUUACAUGAGCCUAACACAAUCUAUCAAAGCUAAGAAGAGACGAUUAACCAUUAUUCUUCAUCUUUUUGUCCCAAAAUCACUGUUUGAAAAGAAACAGUCCAUGUCUUACAACGAAGAUGUGAAUGUAAAGCGUUGUGCAUGUUCGGAUCCAUCUUGCAACCAGCAGAGUUAUCUAUAUCCACAUGCUCAAGUAACAAGGAAAAAUAUGUGGGCAAAGAAGGUAAAGUGAACAUCGUUUCAUUAAUUCAUUAAAGCAUUUCAACACCUUGAUGGUUCUAAAUACACACAAAACACUGAUUUAUAGAUACAUAAGCAACUUCUGUGUAUGUUCUUUUACAUACAAGUUGGUAUCAAGGCUGUUGCAAUGUUGUUGUUUGACCACUUUUAUUAUUUAAUAGUUAACUUUUGAUGCUUCUAAGAUAAUAUGUUCCUCCUAACUCUUGUCAACAUGAAAGACCAAUUAAAGGUUUUGAUUAAAUACAUACUAAUUUUUUAAUAUAAUCUUAUAAGUUAUGUUACGUGUGGGACAUCCACCUAAUAAACUAUAAAUUUAAAUAAUAAUGUUUGAAAAGGAUUUUAUUGACAUUCCUUUAAAUAAAUUCAUAAUUUUAAAAAUAGCGAUAACUUUUUGAAAACAUCAGAAUUAUGUACACGCAGAGGACACAUACCUUUUUAUUUACUUAUAGGAAAAUGAACGAGUCUAAAGCUUCCACAUGUUAUAUGAGCAAAACAUGGAUUUUUCUAAAUUAGAUUCGUUUAAAUCAGAACAUAUUAAUGUAAGUUUCUUAAAUUAGAUUUUUAAUAUGUAUAUAUAUGUAAAAAUACUUCUUUUUUUUUUUUUUGUCAUCAGCAUUACAGAUUUCUAAAUAAGUUACUUCUUAUGUUUUAACAAAUAGAAUACUUCAUCUCUUUCCUAAAUUUUAAGUCAAUAUCAAUCCAUUUCUAUAAUCCAAGAUGAAGAAAUCCCUUCAUCUCUAGAAAAUAGGGUCAGAAAGUUUUGCGUUAAAAUUGAAAGGAUCAUCCCUGAAGUAUUUAUUUGUUUUUUUUAUGCUUUAGUCCAUUAAUAUUUUUUUAAUGUAUGGGUUUAUAUAUGAUUAAGAACUUCCAUGAUAAAAUAAUAUUAAAUAGUUUUAUUUCUUAUCAUCUAUUUAUGAACGUUUGUUCCUGCACACACAAAUGAUUUAACCAACAUUUUUCAUAAUAUGGAUAAACUAUAGUUCUUAUGUAAAUUUAUGUGAUAUUUUAAUUAGAUUUAUAUAUUUAUAGGUAAUCUAUUAUGCUUUUCCAAUACAUACAGUAGUUGUUCUUAAAACAUCACAUUUUUAUAUGUAAUGUUUAUUAAUAUGCACACAAUUCUUAAAACAAUAUUUUCACAACAUAAAAAAAUAAUGUUUGACCAAACCAUAUGCUCAUUUUCUUUAUUUACCGGCAAAAACCAUUUCUCCAUUUUUUUACUUAUAACGCUUAAGAUAAAAAAAUUAUUAAACAGUUUUUGUUGAUAAAUAAGUUUUAUAUUUCAGAAAAUGUAUUAUAUUUUCAAACAAUUAAAAUUUGGGUUUUUAUAUCUAACAUAAAUGAUGGCAGAAGCACAGAAAAAUAAUUGUCUUCAUAAAAUUCCAAUAAAAGGAAGCUAGUGCAUUCCAAAUAAAUGUUUGGCUAUGUGUAAGAAGCAACAUGGAACUCUUGGUAGUUGUCCGGAAAAAGAAAUUUGUAGUUGUGCUUGUAAGUAAGGGUUCUCACUAAGUGUUAUGAAUCUAAUAAUGUCCAACCAAAGUUGUAUAUAAUUUUUUAACAAUAAAUGUCUAAAUGUUUGUCUCAGAUUUGUGGAUCUAUUUAUAAUAAAUAAUAAUAUGAAUGUUAAAUAAAUACAAAUGUGUAAAAAAAGAUUGGACUAUUAAUAAAAUAAAUGAUCACAUUAUUAUUAGAUGUAACCAAUAUUGUGUAUAAGAUCGUAAAAGCUUAAGACGAGUUAAAAAGAUAGAGAUGAAAUCACAUCCAAUAUCUAAAUGUGAGAUAAUCAACUAACAUAUAAUUUUGUAUAUAUUGUAAGAUAAAAUAAAAAUAAAAAUUAAAAAGCAAGAGUUGAUUAUCAAACAAAGAAGUAUUAGAAAGAGCAACAGAUCAUGCAAGAAGAGUCCAUGUUUGAAUUUUCUUGACAGAUGGGUUGCAGACAAGUCAUGGGAAGGUCAUACAAACUCAUCAGACAACGCAAAGAAAAUUGAUAGCACAGUUUCUGAACAUGACAAAGCUCUGGUCAUGAAGAACAAUCUCACAAGCAGAGUUUUGGGUAGACCUCCUCCAAUGUCAUCAUCAGCUACGAGCUCUGAGACUUCAUCCACAUCUCAGUCCUCAGUUUCUUCCCAGGAAGUUUCCUUGAGGAAGGAGGUUAUUACAGAAAUCCAAGUUACAUGAGCCUGGCAAAAUCUAUCAAAGCUAAGCAGAGAUGAUCACGGUAUUCUUCAUCGUCUUCUUCCAAAACCUGGUUUGAGAAAAAACAAUCCAUGUCUUACAACAGAGAUGUAAAUGUAAAGUGUUGUGUUUGUUCGGAUCAAUCUUGCAACCAGUGGAGUGAUCUAUAUCGACCGGUUCAAGUAACAAGGAGAACUAUGUGGGAAAGAGGCUAAAUUAAACAUCGUUUCAUCAAAGAUUGUUGCAAUGUUGUUGUUUGGCCACUUUGAUUAUUUAAUAAUUAACUUCGGAUGCUUCUGAGACAAUCUGUUCCUCCCAUUUUUUGUCAAUAUGAAACGAAGAGCAAUGCUUCAUCUUUAGACAUGAAAAGCCAUUUAAAUGACCAAAUAACAUAGUUUAUACCAAAGCUUCCUUAUAAAUUUUACCCGUUCUAAAAAUUGCUCUUACUAUCAAAAUCUAAAACUGAAUUAAAUUCAAUUAUCUUACUGUUACACAGUUUUCACUAAUCACUAUUUUAAUGUAUAAACUAUAAAAAUAAAUUAAAUACUUACUAAAUUUUUAGAUUUAAUCCAUAAAUUAUAUUACAGUUCAGAGAUUUCAUCCACAUUUCAGUCCCCAGUCCCUUACUCAUUAAAUUUUCCUGAGGAAGGAGGUUAUACAGAAAGUCAACUUACAUGAGCCUUACUCAAUCUAUCAAAGCUAAGAAGAGAUGUCAGGUUCUUCUUCAUCUUUCUGUUCCACAACACCAUUUAAGUAGAAACAGUAUAUGUCUUACAACGGUGAUGUGAAUGUAAAGGGUUGUGCUGGUUCGGAGUAGACUGAUCUAUAUCCACCAGUGCAAGGAACAUGGAGGCAUAUGUGGGCUAAAAAAAACAUCAUUAACUGAAUCUUUAAAGCACUUUCAACAUCUUGUUGGUUCCAUGAAAUACAUAAAUGGAUUAUAGGUUAUUGAAGCCAUUGUUGUAUAUGUUUCUUACUUAUAAAUUAGUUUGAAGACAGCAAUGUUGUUGUUUGGCCACUUUGAUUAUUUAAUAAUUAACUUCUGAUCUUUCUGAGACAAUAUGUUCCUCUUAUUUCUUGUCAAUAUGAAACCAAGAGCAAAGUUUCAUCCUUAGACAUGAAAGGCUUAUUAAAUGACCAAAUAACAUAGUUUAGACGAAAGCUUCCUAAUAAAAUUUAUUCUCACUAUCUAAAUCUAAAACUGAAUUCAAUUCAUCUAUCUGAUUAUUAUAUAGUUUUCAUUUUUUGUUAUUUUAUUGAAUGAGUAAAAAAUUUAAUUAAAUACUUACUAUUUUUUUCAUAUAAUCUUAUAAAUUAUGUUACGUGUGGGACAUCCACCUAAUAACCUAUUAAUUUAAAUAGUAAUAUUUGAAAAAUAUUUUAUUGACAUUGUUUUAAAUAAAUUCAUAAUUCUAAAAAUAGCAAUAACUUUUUGAAAACAUCAGAUUUAUGUACACGCAUAGGACACAUACCUUUUUAUUUACUUAAAGGAAAAUGAACGAGUCUAAAGCUUCCACAUGUUAUAUGAGCAAAACAUGGAUUUUUCUAAAUUAGAUUCGUUUAAAUCAGAACAUAUUAAUGUGAGUUUCUUAAAUUAGAUUUUUAAUAUGUAUAUAUACGUAAGAAUACUUCUUAUGUUUAAAAAAAAAAAAUAGAAUACUUUAUCUCUUUCCUAAAUUUUUAAGCCAAUAUCAAUCCAUUUCUAUAAUCCAAGAUGAAGAAAUCCCUUCAACUCUCGUUUACGUUCUUAAUUAUCUCCAUCAUUCUCUCACAAGGUUUGUAUUUACAUCUUAAUAUAUUGCAUAUAGUAAUUCCAUAAUAAAUUGAUUAUACUAAAAUUUGACUUUUAAAAUAUUGUAAACCCCCCAUAUAAUAAAUUUUAUUUACUAUAUAAAACAUAGCAUUAAAUUAUCUCUUUGUGUAAAAUUCAUAACUUUGCAGAAGGGAAGAAAAUAUAGAAAGUAUGGUCAGAAAUGUUUGCGUUAAUAUUGAAAGAAUCAACCCUGAAGUAUUUAACUGUUUUUUAUACUUUAUGCCAUUUAUAAUUUUUUUAAUGUAUGGGUUUAUAUAUGAUGAAGAGCUAUUAUGAUAAAAUAAUAUUAAAUAGUUUCAUUUUUAUCAUCUAUUUACGAACAUUUUGUCUUGCACAUACAAAUGAUUUAACCGACAUUUUUCAUAAUAUGGAUGAACUAUAGUUCUUACGUAAAUUUAUUUGAUAUUUUUAACUAAUUUUAUAUAUUUUUGUAUUUACAUCUUAAUAUAUUGCAUAUAGUAAUUCCAUAAUAAAUUGAUUAUACUAAAAUUUGACUUUUAAAAUAUUGUAAACCCCCCAUAUAAUAAAUUUUAUUUACUAUAUAAAACAUAGCAUUAAAUUAUCUCUUUGUGUAAAAUUCAUAACUUUGCAGAAGGGAAGAAAAUAUAGAAAGUAUGGUCAGAAAUGUUUGCGUUAAUAUUGAAAGAAUCAACCCUGAAGUAUUUAACUGUUUUUUAUACUUUAUGCCAUUUAUAAUUUUUUUAAUGUAUGGGUUUAUAUAUGAUGAAGAGCUAUUAUGAUAAAAUAAUAUUAAAUAGUUUCAUUUUUAUCAUCUAUUUACGAACAUUUUGUCUUGCACAUACAAAUGAUUUAACCGACAUUUUUCAUAAUAUGGAUGAACUAUAGUUCUUACGUAAAUUUAUUUGAUAUUUUUAACUAAUUUUAUAUAUUUUUAUGCUUUUCCAAUACAUACAGUAGUUGUUCUUAAAAUAUCAAAAUUUUAUACGUAAUGUUUAUUAAUAUGCACACAAUUCUUAAAACCAUAUUUUUCACAAAAUAAAAAAUAAAGUGUGACCAAACGAUAUGCUCAUUUUUUUUUAUAUACUGGCAAAAUAUAUUUCUUUUUUUUUUUACUUAUAACGUUUAAAACGAAAUGUUAUUAAACAUUUUUUGCUGAUAAAUAAAUUUUCUAUUUCAUAAAAUCUAUAUAUAUUUUCUAACAAUUAAAAUUUGAAAUUUUAAUAUCUUACAGGAAUGAUGGCAGAUGCGCAGAAAAAGAAUUGUCCUCGUAAAAUUCCAAUAAAAGGAAGCUAUUGUGCUCCAACUAUAUGUUUGGAUAAGUGUAAGAAGCAACAUGGAACUGUUGGUAGUUGUGCGGAAGAAAAAGGAUUUUGUAACUGCGCUUGUAAGUAAGAGUUCUCACUAAGUGUAAUGAAUCUAGUAAUGUCCAACCAAAGUUUUAUAUUAUUUCUUUUAACAAUAAGUCUAAAUGUUUGUCUCAGAUUUGUGGAUCUAUUUAUAAUAAAUAUUAAUAUGAAUGUUAAAUAAAUACAAUUGUAUAAAACAAGAGUGGACUAUUAAUAAAAUAUAUGAUCACAGUAUUGUUAGAAGUAACCAAUAUUACGUGUAAAAUCAAAAGCUUAAGACUAGUUAAAAAUAUAGAGAUGAAAUCACAACCAAUAUUUAAAUGUGAGAUAAUCAACAAACAUGUAAUUUUGUACACAUUGGAAAAAAAAAAAAAGCAAGAGUUGAUUAACAAACAAGAAAGUGUUAGAAAGAGCAACAGAUCAUGCAAGAGCAGUCUAGGUUUGAAUUGGCUUGACAGAUGUGUUGCAGACAUGCCAUGAGGAAGUCUUACAAACUCAUCAGACAACACACAGAAAAUUGAUAGCAUUGUUUCUGAACAUGACAAAGCUCUGGUCAUGAAGAAAAAUUUCACAGCCAAAGUUUUUGGUAGACCUUCUCCAGCUACGAGUUUUGAGACUUCAUCCACAUCUCAGUCUCCAUUUCCAUUCUCAUGAAGUUUUCUUUAGGGAAGAGGUUAUUACAGAAAGCCAAGUUACAUGAACCUAACACAAUCUAUCAAAGGUAAGAAGAGACGAUCAACCAGUAUUCUUCAUCUUCUUGUUCCGAAAUCACUGUUUGAAAAGAAACAGUCAAUGUCUUACAACGAAGAUGUGAAUGUAAAGUGUUGUGCAUGUUCGGAUCCAUCUUGCACCCAGUGGAAUGAUCUAUAUCUACAUGCUCAAGUAACAAGGAGAAAUAUGUGGGCAAAGAAGCUAAAGUAAACAUUGUUUCAUUAAAUCUUUAAAGCAUUUCAACACCUUGAGAGUUCUAAAACACACACAAAAUACCGAUUUAUAGAUAUAUAAGCAACUUCUAUGUAUGUUCUUUUACAUACGAGUUAGUAUGAAGACUGCUGCAAUGUUGUUGUUUGACCAUUUUUAUUAUUUAAUAGUUAACUUCUGAUGCUUCUAAAAUAAUAUGUUCUUCCCAACUCUUGUCAAUAUGAAACCAAGAGCAAAGUUUUAUUUUUAGACAUGAAACGCCUAUUAAAUGACCAAAUAACAUAGUUUAGACGAAAACUUCCUAAUAAAAUUUAUUCUCACUAUCUAAAUCUAAAACUGAAUUCAAUUCAUCUAUCUGAUUAUUAUAUAGUUUUCAUUUUUCAUUAUUUUAUUGAAUUGAGUAAAAAAAAUUAAUUAAAUACUUACUAAUUUUAAUAUAAUCUUAUAAAUUAUGUUACGUGUGGGACAUCCACCUAAUAAAUUAUUAAUUUAAAUAGUAAUGUUUGAAAAGUAUUUUAUUGACAUUGUUUUAAAUAAAUUCAUAAUUCUAUAAAUAGCAAUAACUUUUUGAGAACAUCAGAUUUAUGUACACGCAUAGGACACAUACCUUUUUAUUUACUUAAAGGGAAAUAAACGAGUCUUAAGCUUCCACAUGUUAUAUGAGCAAAACAUGGAUUUUUCUAAAUUAGAUUCGUUUAAAUCGGAACAUAUUAAUGUGAGUUUCUUAAAUUAGAUUUUUAAUAUGUAUAUAUACGUAAGAAUACUUCUUAUGUUUAAAAAAAAAUAGAAUACUUCAUCUCUUUCCUAAAUUUUUAAGCCAAUAUCAAUCCAUUUCUAUAAUCCAAGAUGAAGAAAUCCCUUCAUCUCUCGUUUACGUUCUUAAUUAUUUCCAUCAUUCUCUCACAAGUUUAAAUAGUAAUGUUUGAAAAGUAUUUUAUUGACAUUGUUUUAAAUAAAUUCAUAAUUCUAUAAAUAGCAAUAACUUUUUGAGAACAUCAGAUUUAUGUACACGCAUAGGACACAUACCUUUUUAUUUACUUAAAGGGAAAUAAACGAGUCUUAGUCUAAAGCUUCCACAUGUUAUAUGAGCAAAACAUGGAUUUUUCUAAAUUAGAUUCGUUUAAAUCGGAACAUAUUAAUGUGAGUUUCUUAAAUUAGAUUUUUAAUAUGUAUAUAUACGUAAGAAUACUUCUUAUGUUUAAAAAAAAAUAGAAUACUUCAUCUCUUUCCUAAAUUUUUAAGCCAAUAUCAAUCCAUUUCUAUAAUCCAAGAUGAAGAAAUCCCUUCAUCUCUCGUUUACGUUCUUAAUUAUUUCCAUCAUUCUCUCACAAGUUUUGUAUUUACAUCUUAAUAUAUUGCAUAUAGUAAUUCCAUAAUAAAUUGAUUAUACUAAAAUUUGACUUUUAAAAUAUUAUAAACCCCCAUAUAAUAAAUUUUAUUUACUAUAUAAAACAUAGCAUUAAAUUAUCUCUUUGUGUAAAAUUCAUAAAUUUGCAGAAGGCUAGAAAAUAUAGAAAGUAUGGUCAGAAAUGUUUGCGUUAAAAUUGAAAGGAUCAACCCUAAAGUAUUUAACUGUUUUUUAUAAUUUACGCCAUUUAUAAAUUUUUUAAUGUAUGAGUUUAUUUAUGAUGAAAAACUAUUAUGAUAAAAUAAUAUUAAAUUGUUUCAUUUUUAUCAUCUAUUUAUGAACAUUUUGUCCUGCACAUGCAAAUGAUUUAACCAACAUUUUUCAAAAUAUGGAUGAACUAUAGUUUUUACGUAAAUUUAUUUGAUAUUUUUAUUUAAAUUUAUAUAUUUUAUAGGUAAUAUGUUAUGCUUUUCCAAUACAAAUAGUAGUUGUUCUUAAAAUAUCAAACUUUUAUGCGUAAUGUUUAUUAAUAUGCACACAAUUCUUAAAACCAUAUUUUUCACAAAAUAAAAAAUAAUGUGUGACUAAACAAUAUGCUCAUUUUUUUAUUUACUGGCAAAAUAUAUUUCAUUUUUUUUACUUAUAACGUUUAAAACAAAAUGUUAUUAAACAUUUUUUGCUGAUAAAUAAAUUUUCUAAUUCAUAAAAUCUAUAUAUAUUUUGUAACAGUUAAAAUUUGAAAUUUUUAUAUCUUACAGGAAUGAUGGCAUAUGCGCAGAAAAAGAAUUGUCCUCAUAAAAUUCCAAUAAAAAGGAAGCUAUUGUGCUCCAACUAUAUGUUUGGAUAUGUGUAAGAAGCAACAUAGAACUGUUGGUAGCUGUGCGGAAGAGAAAAAAAAUUUGUAACUGCGCUUGUAAGUAAGGGUUCUCACUAAGUGUUAUGAACCUAGUAAUGUCCAACCAAAAUUUUAUAUUAUUUCCUUUAACAAUAAGUCUAAAUGUUUGUCUUUGAUUUGUGGAUCUAUUUAUAAUAAAUAAUAAUAUGAAUGUUAAAUAAAUAGAAGUGUGUAAAACAAAAGUGGACUAUUAAUAAAAUAUGUGAUCACAUUAUUGUUAGAAGUAACCAAUAUUACGUGUAAAAUCAAAAUCUUAAGACAAGUUAAAAAGAUUGAGAUGAAAUCACAACCAAUAUUUAAAUGUGAGAUAAUCAACUAACAUGUAAUUUUGUACACAUUGUAAAAAAAAAAAAGCAAGAGUUGAUUAUCAAACAAGAAAGUGUUAGAAAGAGCAACAGAUCAUGCAAGGGCAGUCUAGGUUUGAAUUGGCUUGAAAGAGGGAAAAUUGAUAGCACUGUUUCUGAACAUGACAACGCUUUGGUCAGGAAGAACAAUCUCACAACCAGAGUUUUUGGUAGAUUCCUCCAAUGUCAUCAUCAGGUAGGAGUUCUGAGACUUCAUCCACAUCUUAGUCCCCAGUUCCUUCUUAGAAAGUUUCCUUGAGGAAGGAGGUUAUUACAGAGAACCAAGUUAAAUGAGCCUGACAUAUCAUGCAAGGGCAGUCCCAACAAGAAAGUGUUAGAAAGAGCAACAUAUCAUGCAAGGACAGUCCAGGUUUGAAUUGGCUUGACAGAUGGGUUGCAGACAUGCCAUGGGAAGGUCCUAAAAACUCAUCAGACAACGAAAGGAAAAUUGAUAGCACUGUUUCUGAACAUACAAAACUCUGGUCAGAAAGAACAAUCUCACAACCAGAGUUUUGGGUAGACCUCCUCCAAUGUCAUCAUCAACUACGAGUUCUGAGACUUCAUCCACAUCUUAGUCCCCAUUUCCCUUCUCAUGAAGUUUCCUUUAGGAAAGAUGUUAUUAUAGAAAGCCUAGUUACAUGAGCCUAACACAAUCUUUGAAAGCUAAGAAGAGACGAUUAACCAGUAUUCUUCAUCUUUUUGUUCCAAAAUCACUGUUUGAAAAGAAACAGUCCACGUCUUACAACGAAGAUGUGAAUGUAAAGCGUUGUGCAUGUUUGGAUCCAUCUUGCAACCAGUGGAGUUAUCUAUAUCCACUUGCUCAAAUAACAAGGAAAAAUAUGUGGGCAAAGAAGGUAAAGUAAACAUUGUUUCAUUAAAUCAUUAAAGCAUUUCAACACCUUGAUGGUUCUAAAUACAUACAAAACACUGAUUUAUAGAUACAUAAACAACUUCUGUGUAUGUUCUUUUACAUACAAGUUAGUAUGAAGACUAUUGCAAUGUUGUUGUUUGGCCACUUUUAUUAUUUAAUAGUUAACUUCUAAUGCUUCUAAGAUAAUAUGUUCCUCCUAACUCUUGUCAACAUGAAAGACCAAUUAAAAGUUUUAAUUAGAUACUUACUAAUUUUUUAAUAUAAUCUUAUAAAUUAUGUUACGUGUGGGACAUCCACCUAAUAAACUAUAAAUUUAAAUAGUAAUGUUUGAAAAGGAUUUUAUUGACAUUCUUUUAAAUAAAUUCAUAAUUCAAAAAAUAGCAAUAACUUUUUUAAAACAUCAGAAUUAUAUACACGCAGAGGACACAUACCUUCUUAUUUACUUAGAGGAAAAUGAACGAGUCUAAAGCUUCCACAUGUUAUAUGAGCAAAACAUGGAUUUUUCUAAAUUAGAUUCGUUUAAAUCGGAACAUAUUAAUGUGAGUUUCUUAAAUUAGAUUUUUAAUAUGUAUAUAUAUGUAAGAAUACUUCUUAUGUUUUAACAAAUAGAAUACUUCAUCUCUUUCCUAAAUUUUAAGUCAAUAUCAAUCUAUUUCUAUAAUCCAAGAUGAAGAAAUCCCUUCAACUCUAGAAAAUAGGGUCAAAAAGUUUUGCGUUAAAAUUGAAAGGAUCAUCCCUGAAGUAUUUAUUUGUUUUUUUUAUCCUUUGGUCCAUUAAUAAUUUUUUAAUGUAUUGGUUUAUAUAUAAUUAAGAACUUCCAUGAUAAAAUAAUAUUAAAUAGUUUUAUUUAUUAUCAUCUAUUUAUGAACGUUUGUUCCUGCACAAAUGAUUUAACCAACAUUUUGCAUAAUAUGUAUAAACUAUAGUUCUUAUGUAAAUUUAUGUGAUAUUUUAAUUAGAUUUAUAUAUUUAUAGGUAAUUUGUUAUGCUUUUCUAAUACAUUCAGUAGUUGUUCUUAAAACAUCAAAUUUUUAUAUGUAAUGUUUAUUAAUAUGCACACAAUUCUUAAAACAAUAUUUUCACAAAAUAAAAAAAUAAUGUUUGACCAAACCAUAUGCUCAUUUUCUUUAUUUACCGGCAAAAACCAUUUCUCCUUUUCUUUACUUAUAACGCUUAAGAUAAAAAAAAUUAUUAAACAGUUUUUGUUGAUAAAUAAGUUUUAUAUUUCAGAAAAUGUAUAUAUAUUUUCAAACAAUUAAAAUUUGGGUUUUUAUAUCUACCAUAAAUAAUGGCAGAAGCACAGAAAAAUAAUUGUCUUCAUAAAAUUCCAAUAAAAGGAAGCUAGUGCAUUCCAAAUAAAUGUUUGGCUAUGUGUAAGAAGCAACAUGGAACUCUUGGUAGUUGUCCGGAAAAAGAAAUUUGUAUUUGUGCUUGUAAGUAAGGAUUCUCACUAAGUGUUAUGAAUCUAAUAAUAUCCAACCAAAG